CAGCAGAGAGAAGUGAGUUGCUUCUUCGAGAGAAUUUUACCCGCAAUGUGGCUCCAUUUUACCGUUUCCUGGAAAAGGAACGGUAGUUACGAAGUGCAAGACAUGUCCUGACAAAGUAAAUGCAAACACUGCAUUACAUGGUGUGGUCUAUCAUUCAUACCUGCGUCUCAACUCUCCCAAGGAUGUUGAAGGUCGUCACAAGGUCGUCAGCCAGAAAGACCUACAUGUAGGACCAUUGGUGAGUGAAAUUAGUGAUUGACAGGGCAUGUGCCAAGUGCGGUCAUGAUGAACUUUUAUUUCCACACCAGUCAAACACGAUCAGCUAAUGAAGGACAAACCGUCUUCUAUUUCUGCCCAUCAUGCAAUUUUACAGGCGUCAAGAGAUUGAGUACUCCUGAAGGAAC